AUGUAUCCGUGUGUCUUAGAAGAUGACUACAAAAACCGCUUUUAUGAAAAAGCGUUAGCAUAGGAAGUGUGUAGGCUGAUCGCACCAUAUGUGUGUGAUCAACUGGUAUAAAUUUAAAAUAGGGACCAGUGUUUGGGUUUGAUCACUCGCAGAACUUUCCUUACAGAUUACUGGAGGUACUUUUGUAUGUGAACUUCUGUCUGCGAUUGCAUUUAUAACUAAACGAAGAGUUUAAAAAAACGUUGUUUUUUUUUUAAAAGGAGCCUGUGUUUUUCUCAUAUUUCCCCAACUGGACUUCUUGUAUACCACUCUGUGCAAAAGGAUCUCUCCCCCCUUUCAACAUUUUUUGGGCGAGCUAACCAGGAGUAAGUGACCAUUGCUGCUGGGAGGACCAUCGCCCACUGUGUUUGCACAUCAAAUUAACAAGGUCUCUCUCCAUUCUCAUACUAGGAAGGCCCCGGGAGGCAGUUGACGGAGGGGGAUCCAGAACACCUUGCCAGUUGCAGUAAGGGAUUGGGGUACGUAUCAAGGUUCAUAAGAGGACAUGGAACCAACCAAGGUGGACAGGUCCAUUCCAGGUGACGAUGGCAAGCCCGACGGCGGUUAGGGUCACGGAGAAGUCUGGAUGGAAACAUCUCUCCCAUUGCCAGUGGAUGAUGGAGCCAAAGGAGGACAUGGAAUCAGAGGAGGUAGCCGAGACCAAAAGGCUGAAGCAGAAGGGGACUAGACCAAAAGGCUGAAGCAGAAGGGGCCUAGACCAAAAGGCUGAAGCAGAAGGGGCCUAGACCAAAAGGCUGAAGCAGAAGGGGCCGAGACCAAAAGGCUGAAGCAGAAGGGGCCUAGACCAAAAGGCUGAAGCAGAAGGGGCCUAGACCAAAAGGCUGAAGCAGAAGGGGCCUAGACCAAAAGGCUGAAGCAGAAGGGGCCUAGACCAAAAGGCUGAAGCAGAAGGGGCCGAGACCAAAAGGCUGAAGCAGAAGGGGCCGAGACCAAAAGGCUGAAGCAGAAGGGGCCUAGACCAAAAGGCUGAAGCCGAAGGGGCCUAGACCAAAAGGCUGAAGCAGAAGGGGCCUAGACCAAAAGGCUGAAGCAGAAGGGGCCUAGACCAAAAGGCUGAAGCAGAAGGGGCCUAGA